rnacentral:lncRNA from 1 species
CAGAGCUGAACUGUCCUCCAGCCNACACCCAGCCCUCAGUUCCCGGGGGGAUCCGUGGGUCCCGUGGUGGUUCCUAGGUCAUCUAGCCUUGACUCCCCCCACAAAAUCUGCUGCCUCCCCCGGCCUCUCCCAGCACCCGCCAACCCGAUGAGCUGUCUCCACACACAGACUCCGCCAGGAGGUGCCACUCACUCCCCGGGCUCCGGCAGAAGAAUGUGGCCUGACCCUCCCGUGGGAGCCCUGGCCAGCAGGCCUUGGCAGGAGACAGAGGCUGAGUCAACAGAGGCUGGCAGGGACUCCGGCUGCCCACCACGCGGAGACAGAGGCAGCGGGCUGCCCACUCCCCGGCCUCUCUUCCCAGGAGACCCUCGCUCCUGCUGCUCUGGGCACUGGCCCGUCCAGUUAACCCCUGCAGGCCCAAGGGGGAGUGAAUGACCUGCCGAGAGAGAGUCAGCGCCCCUGUGGAAACUUUCUGUGUGACCUCAGGUAGGUCACUGAAUGUCUCUGGGCGGGGGUCUUCACCUGUGAGGGCCUCUUCUUACCCUGAGGGUGCUGUCAGAGUCUCUGAGUUUUAAUGGCGACUCUGUCCCCUAAGCGCUGUUCAUUGAGUCUGGUCAGUCGUCUGGUCUCUGUAAGCUGGGGUGCGAAUUCCCAAGUUCCAAGUCAAUGGCUGGGCCCUGCUGCCCGGUGCGGAUCUGAAUCUGAGGAGUGACAGGACAGCAGAGUCCACACAAGGAGCCCGAGCGUCCAGUCAUGGCACACACCCAGCCUGCGUUGGCGGGGCCUCCCGUCUCAGAUGUCUUCUUUGAUGGCAGGAAUUAUUCUUCCCACUUGAAAGAUGAGAAAACUGAGGCAAGGGAGUGGGAGGAGUUUGCUGGAGACCCGGCUGGGACAGGCUGGACAGCAGGACAGGCCCACCCUGCGGCAGGGUGAGCGCGCAGGACCCCUGCGCAGCCCCCAGGGUGGAAGGAGGAGUGGGCAGAGGGCGGGGCCAGGUGAUUUUUGCUCCAUCUCAGGGGGAAAUUCUUGGCUGGCAGAGCUGCCCUCUUGGGAAAGUGGUGAGUUCCUGGUCGCCCAGAGCAUGUAGGUAAAGGCCACGGUCAUCGGCUGCGGGUGCUCAGCCAUUCCUGCCCCAGGAGGGGGGUGGGCACACCAGGGGCAGCCUCCUCCACCCUCGGCCCUGCAGAGACCUUGGCCCCUCCCUGCGGCCUCAGAGCCUCUGCCCUCAGGACAGCACCAUGGGUGCCACAGACCUGGACCCCAAGGAGUGUGACUACCUCCUCGCCUUGGUCCCUCGUGUCCUCAUGGGGACCACAGACUGAGAACAAGGAUAGCUGAGUCUGUCCCCAGGAGAGUCCUCGACCCUGCAAAGCCAGGAGGCGUCAGGAACCAGGAGGCAAGGUGGGGUCGGAUGAGCCCAGGAGUUGGAGUCGGGAGGCCACAGGUUCGAUUCCCGCCCUCGUGUGACCAGGCCAGUGCCUGGGCCAGUGCUUUGGCCACUUUGUUUCUGUCUCCACCACACAAAGGAGACAGUGGGCAUGAGGGGACUUACCAACCAGCCCAAGUGGACGGGCUUUUGUCACAAGUCAGGAGACAGAGCCCGUGGGCAGGAGCCCACGGUGAGGGCGAGGGAGGAGGGCACAUGAAGCCCCUCGGGCUGAGCUGGGCUGGGGAUGGUCAGGGCCGUGGGGCGGGGCUGGCCACGGCCCACGGCCUAUCUCUCAGGCCAGGCUGGACCACAGAGAAUAGACCAUUGUUUCUGCUCCUCAAACGCGUUUCCUGUCCCCCAGCCCCUCCUCUCCCCACCCAUCCCCCUCACCCCAUCCCCCGCACGUUGAGCACCAAGGUCUCCUGGAGACCCCUCCUCACGUCUCUCCAGGCCCAAAGCAGCCUGGUUCGGCUCUGAAGAACGCAGUCUGGGCACCCAGGUCACACCACGCAGGACAAUGGAGUCACCUGGCCCUGACCCCUUCAGUGACAGGCGCCUCAGACCCCCCACUCCCCCCUCUGUACAUCCAUCUGUCCGUCCUCCUGGGGUGGGGCAGGAGGACCGGGCCCCACAUCCUUCCUCGGCCCCCCUGUCCAACGUCUUGUUCUCCAGGAGGAGGCCGGCGCAGGGCUGGGUCCUUCCCCGCCCCCUGUCCCUGCACAUCAGCGGCCGGGUCCAGGCGAGCAGCUAGAAGCUCCACCCGAGGACACUCUUCCACCCGCAGCCCUUUCCCAGAGCCUGGAAUUCCAGAGGCGUUUCCGGCCCUGACAGCUGUCUCCUGGAGACACGGCUCUCUGUGGCCUCUCAGUCAGGCCCUCCCCAGUCCUUUGCUGCUCCCAAGAACCCUUCACACCCGGGAAUGGAGAAAUAGCCGGCAGACAGACUGGGACUCAUCCGCUGUCACCAGGUCCCCAGGCCACCCUGGGCAGGCCCUGACUCUGAGGUCUCUGCAUCACUCAGCCGACACCCCAUGGCCACACGCACGCACCAGACACACACACACACACACACACACACACUGAGUGUGCCCAGUCUGCUCUCAGGCCUCCGGCUGGCCCAGCCUCACCUGCCUCCUCCGGGCAGUCUUCUUGGGAGCACCUCGGCCUGGAGCGGGCACGCAGCGGGCACUCAGGUGAAAGCGACCCUGAGAGUGCGGCACCUUGGCUCUGCUGCAGCUUGCUGUGCAACCUCGCCAAGUCCCCAGGAGCCUGCCGAGGACCCUGAGAAUCCCCACCACAGUGACUCCUGGGACUCUGGGGUAGGAGGAGAGAACAUGAGAGCUGAGGUCCCAUUCCGGAGGGUCUCCGUCUCCUGGCCUCCUCCGAGCACUUCCUGUCCCUGAGGUCACGGCGGUCAGGUGUGGACAUGGGAGUGAGGAUCCUGAGAGUCAGCAGGGUCUGUGAUCCCUGCGCCCAGUGGUCCAGCCCCAGCCGGUGCCACAGAGGAUCGCCCCUCCCCGCUAAGCCUGGAGCUCAGCGCCUCUCAGGGCCCCCUCCCCAGCUGACCCCUCCUGGCUCAGGUGGGCCCACCCCGUGUCCACUCUUCCCUGAGGCUGCUGUCCCCACCUCUUAACCCAAGACACAAGGCCCAGCUCCAAUGUCACCUCCUCCAGGAAGCCUCUGGGCACCUCCCCUAUCAGAGCUUCCGCCACUCUUCUGGCCCUACAUCCCCACCAAUAGCCCAGCCUCUGUCCCCACCAGACUCUGACCUCUCGAGGUGGGACUGCAUCCCUUACUCCCUGUCCCCUCAGGUCCUUAGCUCAGCAGCCAAAUAGUAACACCAGCUGCCCUCCCUCACCACCAAGGACAGGACAGGCAGUAAAAUUUAUAGCUCACCACAGGUAUCCAACUAAGGCCAAGGCCAGGGGGCCACUGUCCAAGGUCACUCCACUAAUAACUUGAACUUGGGCUUGUCUGGCUUGGAAAUGCAUCCUGGGUCCUGGAAGGGAGAGUAGGGGGUGCUGUCCCCUUGGCCCCAAUGCCAAGUCUCCCCUAAGCAUACGGCACCUCUGAAGAGCUGGUGACGGCACAGACCUUUUGAAGACCCCAAUGCUGCCCCUUUUCCUGGGGGUGCACAGGCGUGUCUGGGCCCCUGUGGGAGUCUAGCCAGUGAGCGCCUCUGCAGUGGUCUCAGGAGGAGGACACCUGCCCUUAUGGGACUUAGUCCAGGUAGAGACAGGGACCCCUUCAUUUCCCAAAUGUGCCAGGAGAACAGACACUGGGCCCUGGGCCACAGAUGCCCAAGGGGAGGAUGGACCGGACACUUCCCUGUCCUGAGGGAACCAGGCCCCUGGGGCUGUGUCACAGGGCUCUGCUGCCCCCCAUCAGGCCUGCAGACUGGGGGCCACGCAGUCCUGGGCAGGGUGAGGAGGAGGCAGGACAUGGCCCAGGAGGGGGACUUUCCCCUUUGGGUGCCUAGGGAUGCCCAUGGCUGCUGACUAGAGCCCGGUGAGGUUUGGAGUGAUGGCCUUGGGCUCAGUGAGUCAGUGUGGCCAAGUUUACCAGCCGCCAUCCCAGCCGUCCCCAGGGAGCAAGUGUCCUUUGAACCUCAAAGUCUGGCUGGGUUUUAGCCAGUUCAUACAUCUGCUCAUUGACCCCAUUGAUUGAUCUGCCUGGCCUCUGUCUCCUGGGUGUCCAGGGGCCCAUCCACCCGUAGCUGUAACCACCAGUUCAUCCACUAGAAAAUGGCCCCUCCUAUCCAUUCACCUGCCUGCUCCAUCCAUCCAUUCACCUGCCUCCUCCAUCCAUCCAUUCACCUACCUGCUCCAUCCAUCCAUUCACCUACCUGCUCCAUCCAUCCAUUCACCUACCUGCUCCAUCCAUCCAUUCACCCGCCCUCUUGCCCAUCCGUGGAUCCGCUGCCUACAUCCACCCAGUUACAGCCACUCCGCCUCCAUGCCACCCUCAUCCAUCCUCCCUCCACCUGCCCAUCUGUGCAUUCUUCCCCCUCAUCUGUCUACCCAGCCAUCCACACAGCCAGCCGGCCAUCCAUCCACCAUGUCCACUCACCCUCUAUCCAUCCAGCAUUCCUCUAUCCACUGCCCACAAACAUCCACACAUCCACCAUCUGUCCAUCCAUCCAUCCACGCAUCCAUCCACCAUCCAUCCACCCAUAUAUACAUCCACCCAUACACCUACCCAUCCAUCCAUCCACCCACCCAUCCAUCCAUCCACCCAUCCAUCCACCCAUCCAUCCACCCAUCCAUCUACCCAUUCAUCCAUCCAUCCAUCCACCCAUCCACCCACCAUCCAUCCACCCAUCCAUCCAUCCAUCCACCCACCCAUCCACCAUAUAUCCACACAGCCAUCCAUCCAUCAUCCACUCACCACCCAUCCACCAAUCCAUCCACACAGCCAGCCAGCCAGCCAUCCAACAUCCACUCACCAUCCAUCCACCAUCCAUCCACCCAUCCAUCCAUCCAACCACCCAUCCAUCCACACAGCCAUCCAUCCAUCCACCAUCCAUCUACUAUCCAUCCACCCAUCCAUCUACUAUCCAUCCACCCAUCCAUUCACCAUCCAUCCACCCAUCCACCAUCCAUCCACCCAUCCAUCCAUCCAUCCAUCCACCAUCCACCCACCCAUCCACCAUCCAUCCAUCCAUCCAUCCACCCAUCUAUCCAUCCACCCACCAUCCAUCUACCCAUCUAUCCAUCCACCCACCAUCCAUCCACCAUCCACCCACCCAUCCACCCAUCCACCAUCCAUCCAUCCAUCCACCAUCCAUCCACCAUCCAUCCAUCCAUCCACCAUCCAUCCAUCCAUCCACCCAUCCACCAUCCAGGUAUCGGUCCACUCGUUUCCCUUUCCAUCCUGUGAUAUACUUACAUUGACCCACAUCCGGCUGCUGCUGAGCCAUGUGGCCCUGAUGGCCUCGUCUUUCUCACAUGCACACGCCUUGCCUACUCAUUAGUAGGUCCUCCUGGAGGCCCUCCUUCAAGCUGAGCCUGCCUCCCAGGCAUCCCACCUCCCAGCAGCUCCCUUCCCCAGCUGGGAGGCAUCUGUUCUGAAUCCCGGUUGGUGAUAGUGAAUCUGCCAGGGUUAACCCUGGCACUCCUGGCACAGCCUCUUAGGAGAAGGAAGGGGCACUGCAGAAGAUAGGAGAAAAGAAAGGGGACAUGCCCACCCCUGCGUCCUUCUCAGGGACACCAAGACCCUCCCUUUCUCCCAUAUUCCAGAGACACACUGAGUUGGAUCCUUAGGUCAGGAGUGAAGUCAGGAACAGGAAGGUGGCUUACCUGGAGAUAGACUUCUACCGGGAAACAGACUGGAAUGAGAGAUGGGGGGGGGCUCUUUCCAACCUCAGUUUACCCUUCUGUAAAAUGGAGCAAGGCCUCCUGACACAGAUUGCCACACGUGAGCUGGAGUAGACAAAGUACCUGGUGCAUAGCAGGGAGAUUCUCAGCCACAGGUGCAGGGGUGCAGGGGAUAGGGUAAGUGCGGAGCAGGUAACAACCACGUCCAUUAGGACUGCUUUCUCCGCCAGCUACCUGGGGCUUGCAACACUCCUGCAAAUACUGACAGUGGCUCUGGUACUAUGCCCAUUUCAUAGAUGAGAAGCUUGAGAUGCAGAGAGACCAGGUGCUCUGCUGGAGGUCAGCCAUCAGGCCAGGAAUUAAGCUCAGGACCUUUGACAUGACAUCAACUGCUUACUGUGCCAGGUGUUCCAGGGACCCUCUGACUAGAGUGAUGUAUCACUUACUGUUCAACCAGGUCACCUUUGAGAGUGAAAACAAGUGCCAUUAAUAAUUAUCCUGAGACAACAGGUGUCCCAGGCAAAUUGGGAAGCAUGGUCUUCCUGCCCAAGUAGAGGCUCCAGACAAGUCACUUCUCUACAAAAUGGAAGUGAAGACAGUAUUGUCCCCAUGGGACUCUCAUAAAGGUUCAAUGUGAUAAUGUAUAUAAGGGGCUAAAAGGCCUGGUAUGCCCAGGCACAGUGGCACUCGCCUGUAAUCCUAGCAAUUUGGGAGGAUUGCUAGGCAGGAGGAUCGCAUGUUCAGGGCCAGUCUCAGCAAUUUAGCGAGACCCUGUCUCAAAAUAUAAAAUAAAAAGGGCUGGGGAUGUGGCUCAGCCUAGGUUCAAUUCUGGGUACCAAAAAUAUAAUAAUAAUAAAAUAAAAGGCCUGGUAUGCAUUUGGUGCUCAAUAAAAGCUGGUCAUAACUAAUACUAUGACAAUAGCCAUGGUAGUACUGGUCCCUGUCUCCAGCACCGUCCUCCGGUCCCUCUCUGCUCUCACCCAGAGCUUCCAGCCGUACCUCCCUGAGCUGCCUGGCUCGACGUCCUGCUCCUGAGCCCUGACGACUCGUGGCCCACAGGUGACACGGAGUCCUGGCCAGUUCUCUCCUAGGCCUUGAC